CCUACGGGAGGCAGCAGUAGGGAAUCUUCCACAAUGGGCGAAAGCCUGAUGGAGCAACGCCGCGUGGGUGAAGAAGGUCUUCGGAUCGUAAAACCCUGUUGUUAGAGAAGAAAGUGCGUGAGAGUAACUGUUCACGUUUCGACGGUAUCUAACCAGACAGCCACGGCUAACUACGUGCCAGCAGCCGCGGUAAUACGUAGGUGGCAAGCGUUAUCCGGAUUUAUUGGGCGUAAAGGGAACGCAGGCGGUCUUUUAAGUCUGAUGUGAAAGCCUUCGGCUUAACCGGAGUAGUGCAUUGGAAACUGGGAGACUGGAGUGCAGAAGAGGAGAGUGGAACUCCAUGUGUAGCGGUGAAAUGCGUAGAUAUAUGGAAGAACACCAGUGGCGAAAGCGGCUCUCUGGUCUGUAACUGACGCUGAGGUUCGAAAGCGUGGGUAGCAAACAGGAUUAGAUACCCGUGUAGUC
rnacentral:rRNA from 1 species